AUGUCCAAGUUCGCCGUCGGGGAGGCCAGCACCGUCUCCGCCGCUUCCUUCCGACGCGCCGAGGUCGGCCUCCUCGCCCACCCCGAGCUGCGCGCUGUCCGCCGCGUCCUCGAUUCCAUGCGCUCCGACCCAGACAAUUUCUGGGAAUGCAGAGGAAGGGGUCUGAAUAACAAAUCUGGCCGUCGAAUCCCAGCACACAUCCUUGCCCGUUGCUUUAUGCGAAGGAGGUAG
rnacentral:rRNA from 1 species